UACAGAGGGUCCAAGCGUUAUCCGGAAUCAUUGGGUUUAAAGGGUCCGUAGGCGGCCAAAUAAGUCAGUGGUGAAAGCCCAUCGCUCAACGAUGGAACGGCCAUUGAUACUGUUUGGCUUGAAUUAUUAGGAAGUAACUAGAAUAUGUAGUGUAGCGGUGAAAUGCUUAGAGAUUACAUGGAAUACCAAUUGCGAAGGCAGGUUACUACUAGUGGAUUGACGCUGAAGCACGAAAGCGUGGGGAGCAAACAGG
rnacentral:rRNA from 1 species